UACGGAGGGUCCAAGCGUUAUCCGGAAUCAUUGGGUUUAAAGGGUCCGUAGGCGGUUUAGUAAGUCAGUGGUGAAAGCCCAUCGCUCAACGGUGGAACGGCCAUUGAUACUGCUAAACUUGAAUUAUUAGGAAGUAACUAGAAUAUGUAGUGUAGCGGUGAAAUGCUUAGAUAUUACAUGGAAUACCAAUUGCGAAGGCAGGUUACUACUAAUGGAUUGACGCUGAUGGACGAAAGCGUGGGUAGCGAACGGG
rnacentral:rRNA from 1 species